GGCUGCGCGACUGGCGGAAAAGCAGGAAGCUGCGGUGGAUCAACCACGAGGGAGUGCAGAGUGGAAAUAUGGCAGGGAGCUUUGGAAAAUGCCAUGUGACUAUUUGGAAAAGCCGACCGCCUGGGCAUG
rnacentral:ncRNA from 1 species